AAAUAAAAAAAAAAAAUUUUUUAACUUUAUAAAAAUUUUUAAAAUAUAAAUAAAAAUAAAUGAAAAAAAUAAAUUAAGGGAAAAAAUAAAAAUAAACAAAAAAAGUAACAAAGUAAGAAAAUAAAAAUUAGCGAAUCAAAAAAAUAUAAUAAGACAAAAUGUAUAAAAUUUCAAAUAUAAAAUGAAAAAACUUUUAGUUUAGAAUGUACAAAGAAAAACAAAAAAAAAUAUAACAAAUAGAGGACAAAGAUAUAAAAUAUGAAAGAUGAAAAAUAAAAUAAAAGUUAAUAAAAAAUAUGAAUAAAAAUAAAAGAAAGUGACAAAAAAAGAAGUUUGAGGUUUUAAAAUUAUAAAGAAGAAAUAAAAAAAAAGUGUGAACAAAAAGAUUUAAGAAAAAGCAAGAAAAAAAUAAAAAAGGAAAAUACAAAAUACACAAAAAAAAUUUUGAGAAAAAAAAAAAGAGAAAAAGAAGAAAAAAAUAAAAAAUGAAGAGGCAAAAAUAUGAAAGAAAAGAAAAAGAAAAAAAAUUUAUAGACAAUUUUAAAACAAAGGAAAAAGUGAACAAAAAAAAAAAAUAAAAGCACAUAAAAAAAAGAAGAAAAAUUUGAAAGGAGAAAAAGUUAAUGAAAAAUUAUAAAAUGCAAAAGAGAAUAACCAAGAAUGAUAAAAGAAAAAAAGAUAGAAAAAUAAAAAAUUCCAAAACUUUAUAAAAAUUUAUAAAACUAUAAACAAAGAAAGAAAAUAAAAAAUAAAUAUAGAAAAAGAAAAAAUACAAUAAAAAUAUAAAAAGGACAAAAAUUGAAUAAAAAUUUCAAAAAUGAAAUGGAAUGACAAAAUGAAAAAAAAUAGUUUAAAAAAUACAAAAAUUGAAAAACAUAUAAGACCUAACAAUAUAAAAAGUCAGAGAAAAAAAUUAAAAAGAGAAAAAGUUAAUGCAAAAUAAAAAAAAGUAUGAGAAUUUAAAAACGCAAAUAAGAAAUGAAAGGAAAUUUGUGGGGAAAAAAAAGAAAAGCAAGAAAAGAAUAAAAAUGAAAAGAAAAAAGAUUUGGAAUAAAAAACAGAAAAAUAAAAAUUUUAAAACAAUUAAAAAUAGAAGAAAGUGCACAAAAAAAAAGUUUCAGGUUUUAAAAUUAUGAAGAAGAAAUAAAAAAAAGUGUGAACAAAAAGAUUUAAGAAAAAGCAAGAAAAAAAAUAAAAAAUGAAAAUACAAAAUACAUAAAAUAAAAUUUGAGAAAAAAUGAGAAAAGGAAGAAAAAAAUAAGAAAUGAAGAGGCAAAAAUAUGAAAGAAAAGAAAAGAAAAAGAAAAAAAUUUAUAGAAAAUUUUAAAACAAAGGAAAAAGUUAACAAAAAAAAUGAAAGCACAUAAAAAAAAGAAGAAAAAUUUGAAAGGAGAAAAAGUUAAUGAAAAAUUAUAAAAAUGCAAUAGAAAAUAACCGAGAAUGAUAAAAGAAAAAAAGAUAGAAAAAUAAAAAAUUCCAAAACUUUAUAAAAAUUUAUGAAACUAUAAACAAAGAAAGAAAAUAAAAAAUAAAAAGAAAAAAUGAAAGCAAAAGAAAAAAAGAUAAUAAAGCAAAAAAAAAAAAAAAAAACAAAAAAACAAAAAAAAAAAAAAAAAUAAAAAAACAAAAAAGAAUAAAAAUUUAAAAAAAAGGACAAAAAGAAAAAAUAAAAAUUUCAAAAAUGAAAAAUAGAUACAAUAAAAAAAAAAAAAAAAAAAAAAAAAAAAAAAAAAAAAAAAAAAAAAAAAAAAAAAAAAAAAAAAAAAAAAAAAAAAAAAAAAAAAAAAAAAAGUCAGAAAAAAAAAAGAAGUAUGAGAAUUAAAAGGAAAUAAAAAAUGAAAGGAAAUUUGUGGAAAAAAAAUUGAAAAGGCAAAAGAUUUGGAAUAAAAAACAGAGAAAUAAAAAAUUUUAAAACAACGAAAAAAAAAACAAGAACAAGGAAAAUUGUGAAGGGAAAAAGUUAUUAAAAAAUUACAAAGUAGAAAAAAAAAAAAAAAAAAAUUGAACUUUAUAAAAAUUUUCUAAAAUAUAAAUAAAAAAUAAUUAAGAGAAAAAAUUAAAUGAAAUACGAAAGUAAGAAAAUGAAAAAUCAGCGAAUCAAAAAAAUAUAAAAAGACAAAAUGAAUAAAAAUUUCAAAUAUAAAAUGGAAAAAAACUAUUAGUUUAGAAU
rnacentral:lncRNA from 1 species